rnacentral:rRNA from 1 species
UCGAGGGGCAGCAUUUCAGUUUGCUUGCAAACUGGAGAUGGCGACCGGCGCACGGGUGAGUAACACGUAUCCAACCUGCCGAUAACUCGGGGAUAGCCUUUCGAAAGAAAGAUUAAUACCCGAUGGCAUAAUAAAACCGCAUGGUUUUUUUAUUAAAGAAUUUCGGUUAUCGAUGGGGAUGCGUUCCAUUAGGCAGUUGGUGAGGUAACGGCUCACCAAACCUUCGAUGGAUAGGGGUUCUGAGAGGAAGGUCCCCCACAUUGGAACUGAGACACGGUCCAAACUCCUACGGGAGGCAGCAGUGAGGAAUAUUGGUCAAUGGGCGCAGGCCUGAACCAGCCAAGUAGCGUGAAGGAUGACUGCCCUAUGGGUUGUAAACUUCUUUUAUAUGGGAAUAAAGUUUUCCACGUGUGGAAUUUUGUAUGUACCAUAUGAAUAAGGAUCGGCUAACUCCGUGCCAGCAGCCGCGGUAAUACGGAGGAUCCGAGCGUUAUCCGGAUUUAUUGGGUUUAAAGGGAGCGUAGGUGGACAGUUAAGUCAGUUGUGAAAGUUUGCGGCUCAACCGUAAAAUUGCAGUUGAUACUGGCUGUCUUGAGUACAGUAGAGGUGGGCGGAAUUCGUGGUGUAGCGGUGAAAUGCUUAGAUAUCACGAAGAACUCCGAUUGCGAAGGCAGCUCACUGGACUGCAACUGACACUGAUGCUCGAAAGUGUGGGUAUCAAACAGGAUUAGAUACCCUGGUAGUCCACACAGUAAACGAUGAAUACUCGCUGUUUGCGAUAUACAGUAAGCGGCCAAGCGAAAGCAUUAAGUAUUCCACCUGGGGAGUACGCCGGCAACGGUGAAACUCAAAGGAAUUGACGGGGGCCCNGCACAAGCGGAGGAACAUGUGGUUUAAUUCGAUGAUACGCGAGGAACCUUACCCGGGCUUAAAUUGCAUUUGAAUAUAUUGGAAACAGUAUAGCCGUAAGGCAAAUGUGAAGGUGCUGCAUGGUUGUCGUCAGCUCGUGCCGUGAGGUGUCGGCUUAAGUGCCAUAACGAGCGCAACCCUUAUCUUUAGUUACUAACAGGUCAUGCUGAGGACUCUAGAGAGACUGCCGUCGUAAGAUGUGAGGAAGGUGGGGAUGACGUCAAAUCAGCACGGCCCUUACGUCCGGGGCUACACACGUGUUACAAUGGGGGGUACAGAAGGCAGCUACCUGGUGACAGGAUGCUAAUCCCAAAAGCCUCUCUCAGUUCGGAUCGAAGUCUGCAACCCGACUUCGUGAAGCUGGAUUCGCUAGUAAUCGCGCAUCAGCCAUGGCGCGGUGAAUACGUUCCCGGGCCUUGUACACACCGCCCGUCAAGCCAUGAAAGCCGGGGGUACCUGAAGUACGUAACCGCAAGGAGC